rnacentral:rRNA from 1 species
UUACGGGAGGCAGCAGUGGGGAAUUUUGCGCAAUGGGGGAAACCCUGACGCAGCAACGCCGCGUGGACGAUGAAGCUUCUUGGAGUGUAAAGUCCUUUCGGCAGGGACGAAUUAUGACGGUACCUGCAGAAGAAGCCCCGGCUAACUUCGUGCCAGCAGCCGCGGUAAUACGAGGGGGGCGAGCGUUGUUCGGAAUUAUUGGGCGUAAAGGGCGCGUAGGCGGUGUGGCAAGUCAGGUGUGAAACCUCCAGGCUUAACUUGGAGCUUGCAUCUGAAACUGCCAUGCUAGAGUGUGGGAGAGGAGAGUGGAAUUCCUGGUGUAGCGGUGAAAUGCGUAGAUAUCAGGAGGAACACCGGUGGCGAAGGCGGCUCUCUGGACCACAACUGACGCUGAGGCGCGAAAGCUAGGGGAGCAAACAGGAUUAGAUACCCGAGUAGUCCU